rnacentral:misc_RNA from 1 species
GGACUACUGGGGUUUCUAAUCCUGUUCGAUCCCCACGCUUUCGUGCCUCAGCGUCAAUAUCGGCCCGGCGAGCUGCCUUCGCAAUCGGCGUUCUGCGACAUAUCUAAGCAUUUCACCGCUACAUGUCGCAUUCCGCCCGCCUCGACCGAAUCCAAGGCGCCCAGUAUCAACGGCCGUUCGAAGGUUGAGCCCCCGCAUUUCACCGCUGACUUAAGCGCCCGCCUACGCACCCUUUAAACCCAGUAAAUCCGGAUAACGCUCGGAUCCUCCGUAUUACCGCGGCUGCUGACAC